GAUGAACGCUGGCGGCGUGCCUAAUACAUGCAAGUCGAGCGAACGGACGAGAAGCUUGCUUCUCUGAUGUUAGCGGCGGACGGGUGAGUAACACGUGGAUAACCUCCCUAUAAGACUGGGAUAACUUCGGGAAACCGGAGCUAAUACCGGAUAAUAUUUUGAACCGCAUGGUUCAAAAGUGAAAGACGGUCUUGCUGUCACUUAUAGAUGGAUCCGCGCUGCAUUAGCUAGUUGGUAAGGUAACGGCUUACCAAGGCAACGAUGCAUAGCCGACCUGAGAGGGUGAUCGGCCACACUGGAACUGAGACACGGUCCAGACUCCUACGGGAGGCAGCAGUAGGGAAUCUUCCGCAAUGGGCGAAAGCCUGACGGAGCAACGCCGCGUGAGUGAUGAAGGUCUUCGGAUCGUAAAACUCUGUUAUUAGGGAAGAACAUAUGUGUAAGUAACUGUGCACAUCUUGACGGUACCUAAUCAGAAAGCCACGGCUAACUACGUGCCAGCAGCCGCGGUAAUACGUAGGUGGCAAGCGUUAUCCGGAAUUAUUGGGCGUAAAGCGCGCGUAGGCGGUUUUUUAAGUCUGAUGUGAAAGCCCACGGCUCAACCGUGGAGGGUCAUUGGAAACUGGAAAACUUGAGUGCAGAAGAGGAAAGUGGAAUUCCAUGUGUAGCGGUGAAAUGCGCAGAGAUAUGGAGGAACACCAGUGGCGAAGGCGACUUUCUGGUCUGUAACUGACGCUGAUGUGCGAAAGCGUGGGGAUCAAACAGGAUUAGAUACCCUGGUAGUCCACGCCGUAAACGAUGAGUGCUAAGUGUUAGGGGGUUUCCGCCCCUUAGUGCUGCAGCUAACGCAUUAAGCACUCCGCCUGGGGAGUACGACCGCAAGGUUGAAACUCAAAGGAAUUGACGGGGACCCGCACAAGCGGUGGAGCAUGUGGUUUAAUUCGAAGCAACGCGAAGAACCUUACCAAAUCUUGACAUCCUUUGACAACUCUAGAGAUAGAGCUUUCCCCUUCGGGGGACAAAGUGACAGGUGGUGCAUGGUUGUCGUCAGCUCGUGUCGUGAGAUGUUGGGUUAAGUCCCGCAACGAGCGCAACCCUUAAGCUUAGUUGCCAUCAUUAAGUUGGGCACUCUAAGUUGACUGCCGGUGACAAACCGGAGGAAGGUGGGGAUGACGUCAAAUCAUCAUGCCCCUUAUGAUUUGGGCUACACACGUGCUACAAUGGACAAUACAAAGGGCAGCGAAACCGCGAGGUCAAGCAAAUCCCAUAAAGUUGUUCUCAGUUCGGAUUGUAGUCUGCAACUCGACUACAUGAAGCUGGAAUCGCUAGUAAUCGUAGAUCAGCAUGCUACGGUGAAUACGUUCCCGGGUCU
rnacentral:rRNA from 1 species